UCCAAAAAGCAAUAACAAGAAGGACUAAAGGCCUAAUCAAAAAAAUAAAACUAGUAAUUACAAAGUAAGAACAUCAAAGGCCUUUUCCGAAAAGAGCUUCGGUUCAGAUGCACUAUAUCUACCUGUGAGUUGUUGUGUCUGAGAAGCUUGUUCAAUUGACUUCUCCAAGGUACUAGAACUUGCCUAAAGAUGAAAGCCUGAAGGUUAUUGCCGGAACCGUCACACUUCUUCUUCCUACCCCGCUGGAUAAUUUUCUCUCUUAAGUCACAUGGAUCCUCCGCUCUUAACUCUAUACUGAGAUUUCACUGCUCCAAGGUAGAUUGGGAACAUCCACUUUACCAUAGAUCUGAGUAAGGUUGUCGUCGUGAAAUAGUAGAUUCCUUCUUUAGUUGUUGAAUUGUUCGUUGUGAGAAGGCUGUUGUAUCCUGGAGGGGACAAGUCAAGAAGAUUACUACUGGACCGGUGAAACAAUUUGCUGCAGUGGGCUUGAAUCUCUUUAAAGAGAGAGAUUCCAAUGGAAACAACUGAAAAAUCUAUGGAUGUCAAGAUGGGAGAUCUUAACAAGCCAUGCCGGUUCAACGGUACUCAUUUCAAAAGGUGGAAGGAUAAAGUUCUUUUCUACUUAAUUCUUCUCAAUGUUUCAUAUGUCUUAACUUAGAAGAAUCCAAACAAAGUAGAUAACUCUUCCAUGACUGAUGAAGAACUCAUUUCUCUUCAAGAAAAAGUUCA